AACGAACGCUGGCGGCAUGCCUAACACAUGCAAGUCGAACGAAGCCUUCGGGCUUAGUGGCGCACGGGUGCGUAACGCGUGGGAAUCUGCCCCUCGGUUCGGAAUAACAGUUAGAAAUGACUGCUAAUACCGGAUGAUGACGAAAGUCCAAAGAUUUAUCGCCGAGGGAUGAGCCCGCGUAGGAUUAGCUUGUUGGUGGGGUAAUGGCCCACCAAGGCGACGAUCCUUAGCUGGUCUGAGAGGAUGAUCAGCCACACUGGGACUGAGACACGGCCCAGACUCCUACGGGAGGCAGCAGUGGGGAAUAUUGGACAAUGGGCGAAAGCCUGAUCCAGCAAUGCCGCGUGAGUGAUGAAGGCCUUAGGGUUGUAAAGCUCUUUUACCAGGGAUGAUAAUGACAGUACCUGGAGAAUAAGCUCCGGCUAACUCCGUGCCAGCAGCCGCGGUAAGAGUCACGUCG
rnacentral:rRNA from 1 species